UUCUGACCGUAAACGAUGCCAACUAGCGAUCCGCCGGUGGAUUUUUAGCCCUGGUGGGUAGCUUCCCGGAAACGAAAGUCUUCCGGUUCCGGGGGAAGUAUGGUUGCAAAGCUGAAACUUAUAGGAAUUGACGGAAGGGCACCACCAGGAGUGGAGCCUGCGGCUUAAUUUGACUCAACACGGGGAAACUCACCCGGCCCGGACACCGUAAGGAUUGACAGAUUGAUAGCUCUUUCAUGAUUCGGUGGUUGGUGGUGCAUGUCCGUUCUUAGUUCGUGGAUCGAUUUGUCUGGUUUAUUCCGAUAACGAGCGAGACUCUAGCCUACUAAAUAGUAACGAGAUUAUCAAUGUCUCAGUUGCUUCUUAGAGGGAUUUUCGGUGUUUAGCCGCUCGAGAUGGAGCAAUAACAGGUCUGUGAUGCCCUUAGAUGUCCGGGGCUGCACGCGCGCUACACUGGCGAAAUCAGCGUGCUGUAUCCAUUCUCGAAAGGGAUUGGUAAACCCAUGAAAAUUUGCCGUGCUUGGGAUCGGAAAUUGCAAUUAUUUUCCGUGAACGAGGAAUUCCAAGUAAGUGCGAGUCAUCAACUCGCUCUG
rnacentral:rRNA from 1 species